UACGUAGGUGGCAAGCGUUAUCCGGAAUUACUGGGUGUAAAGGGUGUGUAGGCGGGAAGACAAGUCAGACGUGAAAACUCGGGGCUCAACUCCGAGCCUGCGUUUGAAACUGUUUUUCUUGAGAGUGGGAGAGGUAAACGGAAUUCCUGGUGUAGUAGUGAAAUGCGUAGAUAUCAGGAGGAACACCGGUGGCGAAGGCGGUUUACUGGACCACAACUGACGCUGAGACACGAAAGCGUGGGGAGCAAAC
rnacentral:rRNA from 1 species